AUGUGCACUGUGGGGCAGACUCAAAUGAUGUGGGUAGAAUCAGGGCUUUACUAUGUUACUAUGAUUUGGGUAUUAGUUUGGAUGCUCAAUGCCCCUCCCCCUGCCCCACCAACAAAGGCCCAUGUGUUAAAGGCAUGGUCCUCAGAUUGAUGGGGAGGUGAUGCAACCCCUAGGAAUUAGAGUCUAGUGGGAGGUCCUAGGUCAUUGGAGGCGUGUGCUUAGAAAAUAGUUCUCCAAAAAGAGUGGUUUUACAAGUCUGAUUUGAGGAGUGAGGGGAGCACUUGGCAUUGCGGUGUAGCAGGUUAAACCGCUGCCUGCUAUGCUGGCAUCACAUAUGGACACUGGUUCUUGUCCUGGCUGCUCCAUUUCUGAUCCAGCUCCCUGUUAAUGUACCUGGGCAAGCAGCAGAAGAUGUCCCAAGUGCUUGGGCCCUGCCACCCAUGUGGGAGACCCAGAUGGAGUUCUAGGCUCCUAGCUUUAGCCUGCCCUGGCUGUUGCACCCAUUUGGGUACUGAACUUGCUGAUGGAAGAUCUCUUCUCUCCCUCUCUGUCUGUAACUGCCUUUUAGAUAAAUACAUUUUAAUGAAUAAAUAAAUGACAGCUUGAAUGUAGGCCCCAUUUUUCUCUCUGCUUACCACAGGAUCCUUACUUUCCGUGGGCUCAACCAUGGCCAUCUGCUACCCUCAUGGAGGCCAAACCGAUGGGCUGUCCUGAUCUUGGACUUGAACUUCCAAAACUAUGAGCUAAGUAAACCUCUUUAUAAAGUUAGUUGCUUCAAGUAUUUCAUUAUAGUGAUGAAAAGUUGGUUGAUACAAGUUUACACAGCAUCUUUUUUUAUUUUUUUUUUUAAUUUUUUGACAGGCAGAGUGGACAGUGAGAGAGAGAGAGACAGAGAGAAAGGUCUUCCUUUGCCGUUGGUUCACCCUCCAAUGGCCGCUGCGGCUGGCGCGCUGCGGCCGGUGCACCGCGCUGAUCCGAUGGCAGGAGCCAGGUACUUCUCCUGGUCUCCCAUAGGGUGCAGGGCCCAAGCACUUGGGCCAUCCUCCACUGCCCUCCCUGGCCACAGCAGAGAGCUGGCCUGGAAGAGGGGCAACCGGGACAGAAUCCGGCACCCCGACCGGGACUAGAACCGGUGUGCCGGCGCCGCUAGGCGGAGGAUUAGCCUAGUGAGCCGCGGCGCCGGCCCACAGCAUCUUAAGGGAAUGACACAUCUUUAUAGAGAAGUGGCAAGCAUACUGUGGAGAGGCAAAUAUAUAGGGAAACCGAUGGUAGACAAGAGCUAGCUGGCAAGGGUCAUCAGGUAGGAUCCUCUGGUGCAUCUCCAGGGUGAUGAGGGUCUGGAGCCGUCUCUGAUGCCUAACCUCUGUAUAUCCUGGUAGAGAGGGAGUGGGGGGGAUGGCUUGCCUCACGUGUGUUAUGCUUUUAGGCAAAUAACCUUUCUUGUAUUGUUUCUCCUCAGUUGCUUUCAGCUCCAAAUAACCCUUUUGCCAAAGUAGCAUAUUUAGGGUUGGUGUAUUUUUUUUUUAAAGAUUUACUUGUCUAUUUGAAAGGCAGAGUUGGAGAGAGAGAAAAGAUCUUCCAUCUGCUGGUUCACUCCUCAAAUGGCUGCAACAGCCAGGGCUGGGCCAGGCUGAAGCCAGGAGCCAGGAGCUUCAGGUUUCCCACAUGGGUGCAGGGACACAAGGACUUGGGUCAUCUGCUGCUGCUUUCCCCAGGCACAUUAGUUCCAGCUACCUCCUUGGGUCACAUUGUGUGUGUGUGUGUGUGUGUGUGUGUGUGAACUUCCUAGUGUAUGGGUGCAUAGGCCCAAGUACACGAGCCAUCUUUUGCUGCUUUCUCUAUGCACAUUGUGUUGGAAGUGGAGCAUCCGGGACUGGAACCGGUGCUCAUUUGGGAUGCAGGCAGUGCCUUAACCUGCUAGGCCACAGCGCCGACCUAGGGGUGGUGUAUUUUCUACCCUCCAAACUCAUGCACCAUAAAUCGCUCUUCCCUCAGAUGGACUCACGCCACCAGCGACCAGAAGUCGGCAUCACAUGUAAGCCGAUGUUGUCCCGUCACCCACCUGCUCUCCUAAGGCUUCAUGUGCGUCCCACGGAAGUGAGAACCCGGGAAGAAGCCCUCCAGAAGUUCCUCUGUGGUCAGAGUCCUCGAGGUCGUCCUUGAAUUAACUUGGCGCAGGAGUGGCCGUCCCCGUGACCUCCCGUCCGCAGGAAAAGCUGGCCCGCAGUCUCCUUAGAAGGAACCGUUUCUCUCCACCACUGAGGGACCCUCGGUGCCUGCAGGGGUCAGCUGCAAUAUGCAGGCACCUCAACACGUUUGCAAAAAACAGAAUUACAGGGAAGUGGCUUUGAGUGCAAAAAACAAUUUUUUUCUGGGGGGGGGGUCUUUGGGUAGCUUUGUCCUAGUACUCAUUUUCCACGAACUUUUUGAAGCCCUCGUGUACACAUGGACUUCCGUUGCUGUUUGCACUGAGAGAAAAUCUUUUCAUUCCAUUUCUUAUAGACUUUGUGAAGUUUAUCCCACGGAGGAACCAGAUUCAUGUGUGACCAAUUAAAUAGGGUAUUAACGUGCGAGGCUGUGAUCCAGGGUGAAGCUAGCAGCAGUAUGAUGCUGUUGGGGAGCCCCUCGCUCCGUCUCUCUGCUCAGGCAUCUUCAGCAAGUGCAUCGGCGUCUCUGGCUUGUCCUCGCGUGUGUCCAUGGUGGUUCCUCCGUGUUCCCCGUGAUACUUCCAUUGCAGGCAGGAAGACGAGGAGAGCAAGCAGCAAAUGCAUGGAAGGGAUUCUGUUUUUGGUGUUUCUCGCUAGCGGCUGCAGGCAGGUGGUUGGGACCAUGGGGAGCUGGUGCUGUCCUCUGGCUUUUCUCAGGGGCUCUGGCCCUCCGGGUGAGCCUGGGCUUCCCCACAAUGUGGUGGCCUCUGGGAGGUCAAAUCGCUUACACAGCAGCUGGGAGUGUCAAGAGUAUUCCAGCCAGCCAUACAGAAGUAAGUGCGUGCCAUGUGCUUCUCCCAUUUGCCAUUUUUAAAAGAUGUAUUUUAUUAUUUAUAUGAAAGUCAGGAUUACAGAGAGGAGAGGGAGAGAGUGAGAGGUCUUCCAUCCGCUGGUUCUCAACUCCCCAGUUGGCUGCAAUGGCUGAAGCUGCGCUGAUCCGAAGCCAGGAGCCAGGAGCUUCUUCCAGGUCUCCCACGUGGGUGCAGG